rnacentral:lncRNA from 1 species
GUAUCGUAAAUUUUUGUUUGAAAAUGUAUGAAUCACGAUGAUCAUAGAAGGCAUUUGUUUUUGUGCAUAGUAUGCCAAAAUAUAAAGUACAACAUACACAACCACAUCAAAUUCUAGAUAUUAAUUAAUCCUUCCAGUUGAGAAACGUUUAGGAGUUCCUGAAGAGCUAAGCUAAACAGAUUGACUCCAUUCCAGUUAAAACUUCAAGCUCCUGACCAACAACCUAUCACAAGGAAACACAUAUAUACGAUAGUACAAAAGGCGGUUUCAGACAGUAUGACGAAAUAAGCGUAAACUUGUGUACAACAAAGCAUAAAAGUCUGUUGACGUCAUAUUGAAUGGAUCAGAUGGUGCGUCUGAGACAUCUUGUGGGCUGGUCGGGUGAGGGUCAGGGCUUUCCCUAGUUUGCUUUAUAGUUUGUUACUAGAAUUGUUAUAGUCUGUUUGAUUUAUACUUGAUACAAUUUCUUUUGGAGGUAAGAAGAUCAAGGCCAUGAAGGAAGAUAGGUGUACAUAAAUUAUUUUAGCACAACAUCAAACUGUUCCACGACAGGAAAACAAAUUAGCAGAAAAAUUGGAUUGGUAGCAGAUGGACACUGUUCCAACUGCCACCUAAAUGGUAUAAUUGAUUAGUCUUAUAGGCUUGUAGCAGAGAGGGAGCAGGCAAGGUACUCCCUUCUUAGCUUUAGUUAUUCAACGAUGCUACACAAAUUUUCAUUCAGAAUUACAGGUAAUUGAAUGAUGCCCCCGGAAUACCAAAUAGAUGCAGAAAAUCUAGUUUCUGCAAUCAGGCAAGAAAAAAACAGUGAACACAAUAUGAAUUACCCGUAUUGUUUGUUAUGCAACCAACAAUGCCAUAAUCCAAUGACAUGUGUCCAUUAGUUCGUCAUACUCAUUAAUCAUUGCCCUAUUGGAAAAUGAGGCUAUGUUCUUCCAGAAACUGCCUUGAAGAGUUCUAGCGCAACAACAUACCAGCCUCCAGGCGAUGCGCAGCCAUCCGAUUGUCCCUGGAAUAGACCUACUCGCGGGGGGUUGCAAAGCGACGCGAAUCCGGGCGCCGCCUGGCCACAGGCGGGGUGCAGUCGCGUGCUCACCAGAUCCGGCUACCGCCGUCCUUCUCCUUACCUUCCACUGCAGGCGUCGGAGGAGGGGGCAAUAGAGGCCUGGCGGAGAGGCAGGGCAGAGGGAUACGACCAAAGGCGGUGGGGAAAGGGUGGUCGACUUCACUAGGGCACUCACGCGUGGCAGCCAUAGGGGCAGCAGAUGAUGUGCGGGUUGCAGAGCGGUAUGAGGCGACGGGGGGGGGGGGGGGGGGGGGGGGGGGGCACGACUGGUAGCGGAGGCCGAGCGGUGCAGGGAGACGACAGCAAGAGGCGUGGGGCGAUGGUGAUGAUGGAUUCUGAUGGACAAGCACGGUUUAGGUUUUUGCGUGGGGG